rnacentral:snoRNA from 2 species
AGCCUGUGAUGUUAUAAAAUAUUUGCUACUCUUGAUGGGAUCACCCAUGUGAUGAUUAUUUAUCCACCAAGAUCUCUGAGGCU